AAUUUAAUUUUACUUAAGUCGAAGAAGAAACCCUUAUCGAGUCGAUUCCCUUGAACCCAAAGCAACGCCUCUUCGCCUGGCCUUCUCUACCACCGCUUCUUCGCGACGAUCCCGGCUUCCACCUCGAGAGGCUUCCUCAGAUUUGGAGUAACUGAAGUUUAUAUACUUGGAGGUUUUGCUUUCAACAUGGCAGGACUUUUGGGAUUUAGCAGCCUUGCCCCAACGACCAAGAAUAUAGUGGUUGCAGGAGGUUUGACAGCAUUUGUUUUUGGGGUCUAUUACUACACCAUGAGAGCUGUUGGGGGUACAGAUGAACUUCAGGUAGCCAUAGAUAAGUUCGAGGGGCAGAAAGGCAAACGAGAAGAUGAGGCAAGCUUAUCAUCCAAGUCUUAAUCCUGUCUUUCUUUCUUUAUUCCCCCAUUUUUGUUUCAGAUGAAAGUUUUAAUUAUCAUAUCCCUAGUCUUGUAGUAUUAUCAGGAACAAUGCAAAGAAUAAUUUGUCGUACGAGCAAUCUACUUUCUUGAUAACAGGUUUUGUUAUAUUUAGUCAGUAUUGUUGGGAGAUGAACUGUGUAAGUUCUCAUGUAUUUACACACCUGCUUUCGGAGGUAUGAAAGACCUGAUGGUCCUGAUCCAUGACAUUUGCAGUUCAUAUUUGCUUAAGAUAUGUUUCUGGUUGGCUGUUGGA